CCUGAAUAUCACACUCUUUAAUCAAAUCACAAAAAAAACAGUUUUACUCACUGUCAACAGACCAACAUGAAUGUUUUCAUAGUGACUGUAUGUUGUCAUUAAAUCACAAAGGUCUGAAGAAGACCGAUUGCAGGACAGAAAAAGGCGACGAGUGCAAGGAGGGCUACAGACGCUGGGAAAUUGACAGAACUGGAAACCGGGAACAGGGUUGCUUGUUAUGGGCCAGAAAAAUACCUUGAUACUUGCCUUUGUUAAACAUUUAUGGAAGCUCUUUUUUUUUUCUUUACAGAUCAAACAUUUUGUGCCUGGGGUGAAAUAAAAAUCAAGGAUGCAAAGUC